UGACAUCAUUUCUAAUGGCAAGCAAGGGGUGAGUGUGAAAGGGUUAAACGGUUGCUUUAUGUAUUCUGGCAGAUAAGUUCCUUUCCCCCUAAAGACUUUGAAUUGGUUGCUGAAAGAUGAUAUAAGUCAGACCUACAUGAUCUUGGAAGCUCACGUCCAAAAACAAUCUUUAUGUUGGUCUUAAGCGGCUUAAAAACACAGAGCGAAUGCACGAUAAAUGCAAGUGUU